GAGAGCCGUAUACGUCGAGAGGCGUAAGUACGGUUCGGGGGCGAGUAUCUGGAAAUCUGCCGUGGCAACACGGUAAGGCGCCGGGUGCUUAGCCUAC
rfam:Lachnoclostridium sp. YL32, complete genome.